AAUAUACUCCCUCCGUCCGAAAAAGCUUGUCCCAACCUUGUCUCUCAAAUGGAUGUAUCUAGCACUAACUUGGUACUGGAUACAUCCAUUUGAGAGACAAGCUUUUCCAGACGGAGGGAGUAGCUA
rfam:Triticum aestivum genome assembly, contig: Triticum_aestivum_CS42_TGACv1_scaffold_322301_4BL